GUUUCUGGUUGCGGGACAUCACCGUGUUGUUGUGUUUUGUCGAGUGAAAACUGCGGUUCUGGUCCUGCUGGGCUCCAAGUCUGAGCUUCUGCUGCAGCCACAGCAUCUUCUCCAUCCGCAUCCUGAGAGUGGAGGACGGCGAGCCGCCACCAGUCCACGCCGUCAGCGCGUUGUGUCUGUGCGACCUGGCAGGCUCUGAGCGCAGCUCCAGGAGCCAGAACAAAGGAGAGGACCUGAAGGAGGCUGGAAACAUCAACGCCUCGCUGCUCAUUCUGGGCAAAUGCAUCAAGGCUCUGCAGCACAACCAGCACACCAGGUGGAGGUUGUGAUCUCCAGGCUCCUCCCCGUCGUUCCUCCUGCUUCCUGCAGCAGGAAGACGCUGCAGAGCAGCAGCAGCUCCCUGAGCGGCUGGGAAGCCAGUCUGGAAGACCUUCAGGGUGAAGACCAAGACUCCAGUCUGAUGGAGGACAGCAUGGAGGAGACGGCUGACCAGGUGAAGAAGUCGUCAUUAAUAAGAGGCUUCACCAGGAAGCGGUCCGAUAAAAGCCCGUCUCUAGUUCCUAGGCUGGGCUUUUCCUGCUGGACCCGAUGGAUGGAAAGAGUUUUUGGACCUGACCUUGAACCUUGACCUUUGGCCUCAGACUUCCCUGACCUGAUGAGACCGUCAGAGAGCAGUUCUGAUUGGCUGUCAGUGAAGCUCUGUAAACAUAUUGACUUGAUCUACUUUAGUCCUCUUUCUAUUAAAUACUGACGUAAAUCUAUCUGCAGCCAGUUGAGUUUCAUCUUUUUCUGCCGGAUUUGAUCCACCAGACAAACUGUUUCUGUCUCCUGAUUUAUGGACUGAUAGAAAGAAGCUAUUUAGUGCCUGACAUCACAGCA